rnacentral:lncRNA from 1 species
GAUGGUUGUGUUUGAAUGGAGGCCUUCUGGACAGGAAAAUAUGGAGAGUGCGUGCUUUGGAUUCAAGACUGGGAAUGAGGGGACCAGAAACCUAUUCUGUGGCUGUUUCUUGUUAGGACUUUCCUAAGCCUCUGGAAAAGUGCAAAGUACAAUUAACAUUUGAGUCUGUCUGAGUCAUGAAGAAAUGGAGAUUACUGAAAAUAAUUCAUUUUGGUAUCUUCUUACAUCCUGAGAGACUAAUCUUUCCAAGUUCAUCUGAGGCUCCUCUUCUCCAUGACAACCUCAUCCAGGGAUUUCUUCCUGUCCUGGUGUUUUAUGACAUAAUCACAUCCUUCCUGAGAUAAUGAGCACACAAUUGCCUGGAUACCUGAAGGAAUGGAGACAGCGGCAGAAAACACUGCAGAGAGGUGGAAACAUCCGUUAAUAUUUUAAAAUCCCAUUACUGCUACCAACAAUAAUAAUGGAUGCAUAGAAAUAGAUCUGGAUUAGCUGAGCUUGAAACAGUCCAUCUCACACACACACAAAAGAAUUUCAGGUAAUGAAGAAAAGAAAAGGAAAAAAAUAACACAUGGCCUCUGUAACAUUGUUGCUUUUGAACCUUAUUGGAUUUGUGGCAAACUGGGUGCUUUUGGGACAUGAGUCUCCUACCACUCACCUGCCUCUGAGCUCUCCUCUGAGGCCGGUCACUGCCCAGAAGGGAUGCACCUGUCUUCUGUCCUGUGGUCUCUGGGUAGCCCCUGGGUCAGCAUUUUGGGUGCUAGCAUCUGAUGCAACUGCUACAGUU